rnacentral:lncRNA from 1 species
GGUUGAGGAGGAAGGUCUUCCCUGAGUGCUGCUCCCCCAGGACAGCGAGGAGGCAGACAGGGGUGUCCCUGGCCAGGGGGUGCUUCAGGCAGCGGUUGAUGGCCCCCAUCCUCAGGAUGAGGCCUCCGGAGGCAUUGAUGCGCACCAGCAGCAGCGGCUCGGCCCUCACGGAGCAGGUCUCCUGGGCCGGGGGGGGGGGGGGGGAGAGGGUUCCCUGAGCACCCAGGCGGUGGGAGCCGGGCCCCAAGCGGGGAGCGUGUCCAACCCCAAACUCCGCUCCCCGCUCUGACAUGCUAGAAUGGAGACGGAGCCACCGUCAGACCCGGGGGCCUCCACGCCCCCUCCCCAUGCCGAGGCCUGGACCCUGGACCUGCAGCACAGCGGGCAGAGGCCUCUGCGGCAGGAGCUUCAUCUUCUCCCCCAGACUCCGGAGGCCCCUCUUCUGCUUGCAGAUCUUCCGGCACUCUGGACAGCAAGGCGGCUCGCAGCCCGGGACGCGGUGUGUGCUGAAGCACCGCGCGCAGAAGUCAUGGCCACAGUCCAGCGAGACGGGCUCCCGCAGCCUCUCCAGGCAGAUGGAGCAGGCGGGGAGCUCCCGC